rnacentral:tRNA from 1 species
GCCUCGGUGGCUCAGCCUGGUAGAGCAACGGUUUCGUAAACCGUCGGUCGCGGGAUCAAAGCCCGCCCGAGGCU